GACGGAGAGCGCCAGUGUAUCGUCAAGGUAUCCAACUCCGUGUUCGGCGACCCCUGUGUCGGAACCUUUAAGUACUUGGAUGUGGCUUACACCUGUUACUGAAUGAUAUCUUCCUGGGGAACCUGAAGAUGUACAAGMCUUCUGGGAUAUCUUCAUCAGGUCAUGCUGUUUUCAACCAAAUCAACUUCAAUGACCAUUGUAAAGCUGUAUUUUGUGUAAGCAUUUCUGAACUGUGGUUGUUGGUCUCAAUUAAACGAAGCGGCUGAAGAAAAGAG